GUGCAGAGGAGACCAGGAAGCAGUUGAAAAGCAGGGUAAUGAGUGAAGCUGGUAUGAAGGUUUCUAGACAGGCACCAAAGAACCCCCGAAAGAACAAUAAGAAGGCCAACAAUGCUGAACCUGCUGCAGAAACCAUGGAUGUGUCAGCUAGCUCUGCAAUGGAAAUGGGUAAGGACCUGGAAUAAGUAUUAUUUGCUGGAAAGCAGAGAGUCAGCUCUCUUCUUUGGAGUUGAGACAUUUGAUGUAUACUAACCUUUGUAUAUGCUUCAUCAGAGAGUGUUCCUGAGGUGGUGAAGCCAAAGGGCAGGGCAGCUCCAAGGAAGGCCCCAGCCAAAAAGGUUGGCUUCAUCUUUUAG
rnacentral:lncRNA from 1 species